UCGAGAUAAGGGCAAACCGUGAGUGAUCGCGAGACGCAAAGUGAAGGGUCUUGAUACCGUCGUUAUAACAAAGACAGCCUUACUGCCAAA
rnacentral:ncRNA from 1 species